AUAAAAACUGCAGAGUUGGUAAAGCAGGGUGUGUUUCUUAUGCAUGUUUUCAGUAAGCUUUUGCUCCAAAUAUUAUAGCUUGAUUCCUUGAAACCAAAGGAAAGUGGUGAUUAUAUAAAGAUAUGUGUUGGAUGAUAAAGGCAAUAGAAAACCUGGAGAGAUCGCAAGUAACGGUGAAGCCGAUGAUGACAUGAUAAAAGGAAGAGGCUUAGAUGCCAACUAUUGUAGUUGCCGAUAGAAGGUUUUUUUCUGUCUAAUCCAAUUGUCUCAUUAUGUUU